CUAUUCUCCCACGUAACAGCAACAGGACAAAGAGGUGAUGGCCUCAAGUUGCAGCAUGGGAAGAUCAGAGAAAUCACACUGGGAAGCAGAAGUUGCUGUAAAGGGGAGAGGUUCUGCAACCGACUCACUGGAAAAGGGGGAGAACAGUGCACAAAAGAACCUGCGGAUAUCCUGGUGGAUUUCAGGUAGGAGAUGAAACACACAACACAUAUCUUGCUGUAACUGCAUGGUAAUUUCUGUGCUGUGCUGUGGGAAAAAUGCCAAUUGAUCCUUAUAGCAUUCUGUUUUGUCUGUGCAAGAAUGCUACAAAGCCUUUAUGACAUCUAGAUAUACCCUUGCUUACCUGUCCUUCACACCUGUCUCCUUGGGGCUCCUCUUUCCAUGUUCCUUAGAGCUCAAAUACAAACACUGUGACAGAGUUCAGAACUCUGAGUUUGUG
rnacentral:lncRNA from 1 species